GGUACAGAUUGAUAGCUUGCUAUCAAUGCUGACGAGCGGCGGACGGGUGAGUAAUGCCUGGGAAUAUGCCCUGAUGUGGGGGAUAACUAUUGGAAACGAUAGCUAAUACCGCAUAAUCUCUUCGGAGCAAAGAGGGGGACCUUCGGGCCUCUCGCGUCAGGAUUAGCCCAGGUGGGAUUAGCUUGUUGGUGGGGUAAUGGCUCACCAAGGCAACGAUCCCUAGCUGGUCUGAGAGGAUGAUCAGCCACACUGGAACUGAGACACGGUCCAGACUCCUACGGGAGGCAGCAGUGGGGAAUAUUGCACAAUGGGGGAAACCCUGAUGCAGCCAUGCCGCGUGUAUGAAGAAGGCCUUCGGGUUGUAAAGUACUUUCAGUUGUGAGGAAGGCGUUGAUGUUAAUAGCUUCAGCGUUUGACGUUAGCAACAGAAGAAGCACCGGCUAACUCCGUGCCAGCAGCCGCGGUAAUACGGAGGGUGCGAGCGUUAAUCGGAAUUACUGGGCGUAAAGCGCAUGCAGGUGGUCUGUUAAGCAAGAUGUGAAAGCCCGGGGCUCAACCUCGGAACAGCAUUUUGAACUGGCAGACUAUAGUACUGUAGAGGG
rnacentral:rRNA from 1 species